GUCAAACCUGCCCAGUGAAUUAAUUUUUAACGGCCGCGGUAUCCUAACCGUGCAAAGGUAGCAUAAUCACUUGUCCCCUAAAUAGAGACUAGUAUGAACGGUUAAAUGAGGGCCUAACUGUCUCCUGCAGCCAAUCAAUAAAAUUGACCUUACAGUACAAACGCUGUAAUAUAUAUAUAAGACGAGAAGACCCUGUGGAGCUUUAAAUUUUUACAUUAUCUAUAUAUCCUAAAUUUUUUAUUAAUAUAAUGUAAGUUUUAAGUUGGGGCGACUAUGGAAUAAAAAGAAACCUCCAUGAAAACACGAUUAAACCUCGUCACGCAAGGCCAACAAGCCUAACAAAAUUUAAACCGACCCAGUAAAACUGACCACCGAACCAAGUUACCCCAGGGAUAACAGCGCCAUCCCCUUAAAGAGUCCACAUCGACAGGGGGGUUUACGACCUCGAUGUUGGAUCAGGACACCCAAGUGGUGCAGCAGCUACUAAAGGUUCGUUUGUUCAACGAA
rnacentral:rRNA from 1 species